GUUGGGGCUGGGCAGCGGCGGCAUGCAGAGCUGUACUGCUGGAGUCUCCUGUAAAAGUGGCGGCUCCCGAUGGUUGUGAGAACUGGGACUGCUGUGGCCUUAAGCUAAGCAGUGUAGAGACGGAGAGGAGCACUCCAGUCCAGCUCCUGAGCCAGCACUUCAGUCCUCAUAGAGACAGGAGCUGCAGCAGCACCAACCAGGGAUCGCACCUGUGAGUGACAGCAGCCCAGGCUGCCAGAUAAAGGGUGAAGUAUACAGAUGAGGCUAGAGACCUUCUGCAGCUCAGUAAAAGAUACUUUUGGUACAUGAAUUACCUGGAGCUGCAAACUGUUACCAUUUAAGAAAUGAAAACACAAGUUUCUUCAAACAGAAGGGACAACUGGAAAGUCACACAUUCGCAGAAGACGGAAGGGAUCUGUAGAUAGUGAGUCUCCCCAUAGGUCUGCAUCUGGCAGGAAGAAGACUGGGAGCAAGCUAUAACACUGAGGUGAAGCCGGAGAGAAGGGACAACGAGUACCCGCCACUGUGUGCAUAGCAGAGAAGCGAUGAGACACGUCACAUUUAUGUGGUCAGUGAUGGAAGAGCCCAACAGAGAGAGCUUCAUAUUGUUUCUUUUCUACACAGAGGAAGAUUUCAUCUGAUCUCCACCAUCAAUGGCAAAAUGAUCAACCAACCAAUGAUUUUGGCCAGCUAUCGUUGGUAGCUAGCCAUCAAUAGCAAUCCCUACUCCAUGGUACCCUGCAAGCUGUACAAGGUUGCCAUCAGGGCAGCGACUUUGCCAUUCCCCGGACACCAGUCGUACACCCCUCGCUACAACUAUACACAAGAUCGAAUUGUGCAACUUCACGAAAUUGGACUUUACAGCCGUUUUGUGUUGUGCAGAUGAGAUUCACUGUACCAAAUGUCCUCUAUUUUAC